ensembl:lncRNA
CGGGAGGCGGCGACGCGAGCGCCCGCGCAGCGGUGGCCUCGGCACCGGGAGCCCCGGAGCAGGGCACAUCCCCGCUGGGGCGCUGGUACCCGGCAGGCCUCGGAGAACUCGGUGGCGGUGGUGAGCUCUUGCACACAAGUGAGGCAGAGACGGCACACUGGUGGCCCGCGAAGACACCGAGAACAUGAAUUGAAAAUCGAAAAGGAAGUGGAAGUAAACACCAACAAGAGCCCCUGUCCACCCGGGUGUCUGGACCGCUAAGCCUGGCCCAGGUUCCAUCCAAACCCGAACGCGUCCUGGAGCGCAGGACCGCAGCCCUCGGACGCUGAGCUCGGCCUCCAACAGCAAGGGUCGGGCUGCAGCCCUCGCCGGAAAGAGAGCCGAUUGGCACUUUACCUUUGGGCGUCCGGCACCCCGGCGUGUGGCUGAGGGCCGCGGGGCCUAAAUGGAGUUGACAGCUGGUGUCAGCUCGGGCACCGGG